rnacentral:pre_miRNA from 1 species
AGACAACCUUUGCAAGGUUUAGUCGCUGAAUGCCGACAUUCUGUAAGUAAUAGUAAUUUUCCAGGAUGUCGGCAUUCAGCGUCGAAGCCCUUUGCAAUACCUACGCGGUUGGAA